GGACUGUAGUCUGCAACCCGACUACACGAAGCUGGAAUCGCUAGUAAUCGCAGAUCAGAAUGCUGCGGUGAAUACGUUCCCGGGUCUUGUACACACCGCCCGUCACACCAUGGGAGUCGGUAAUGCCCGAAGCCAGUGACCCAACUAUAUGGAGGGAGCUGUCGAAGGCGGGGCCGGUGACUGGGGUGAAGUCGUAACAAGGUAUC
rnacentral:rRNA from 1 species